rnacentral:misc_RNA from 1 species
UACGUAGGGUGCAAGCGUUGUCCGGAAUUAUUGGGCGUAAAGAGAACGUAGGCGGUUAGUUAAGUCUGUUCUUAAAGACCAGGGCUCAACCCUGGGAGUGGAAUGGAAACUGGCUGACUCGAGGACGUCAGAGGAAGGUGGAAUUCCCAGUGUAGCGGUGAAAUGCGUAGAUAUUGGGAGGAACACCAGUGGCGAAAGCGACCUUCUGGGACGAUCCUGACGCUGGGGUUCGAGAGCUAGGGUCUCUAACCGG